rnacentral:sRNA from 1 species
AGGAUCUAAGCCUUUCCCACGUUAUGGUUAUAAACCCUCCCCACCGAAUGGAUGUGGCUCUCCACUGUUUGGUGUUCAUCUUAACAUUGGUAUCCCUUCCCUGACAAAGUGUUGCAACCAACACGACAGGUGCUAUGAGACCUGUGGCAAAAGCAAGAAUGACUGUGAUGAGGAAUUCCAGUAUUGCCUCUCCAAGAUCUGCCGAGAUGUACAGAAAACACUAGGACUAACUCAGCAUGUUCAGG